GCCUUCCCUGCGCGGCUCCCCGCCCUCUCGGCCUCACCGGCUCCGGCGACCGCGGGGGAGAAGCUGUUGGGGGAGGGCCGGAACGCACCGCCAUCGGCGUCCGGGGCGGGGGAGCCGGGAAACCGUCGUCGCCAUCGCCCCGCCAGCCCGAGGCGCGGGAGGGGCCCGGAAAGCUCCCUCCCGCCCGCUCGCCGCUGCCGGCGGCCCCGGGGGCGCCCCUUCCGCGGCCGAGGCCCCCGCUCGCGUGGGGAAGCUUCUACCUGCGAGCCUGCGGCCCCUGCCCCCGGCACCCGAGACAUCCCCGACCCGGCGCGCCGGAUUCUCUGCCAGGUUUUACAGCCUCCCUCGCCUUGGGACCGCCGCGGAGGACCCGUUCCCGCCACUUCGGACCUCGCGAGCGGGGCUGAGCUGCUUGGGUCGGGGACACCACCAGCCUCUGGAGAAACGGCCCGAAGCACCCCGAAGAAGAGGGGGUCCCAGUCCCCUGCCCCUCCCUUGUGCGCACCCCCACCCCCAGCUUGCCUGGAACCUGACUCCACACCUUUGUCGACCGGGACAGGGACUGGGGGUUGCACCCCAGAUCAGAAAGUCAGAGGUGGCCCUCCGAAUCGGCGCGGACUUCCGAGGAACCUCAGCCAAUUCUCGACCCCCUUACCACCUGCAAGGCCUUAGGAAUCGGCUCCAGAAAGCUCGAGCUUAUCUGCGUGUUUCGUUUUAAAAAUCACUUCUAAGAUAAAACCUAACUAGGCUUUCCCCUUCAGACUUUCAGUAACUCCUGUUUGGCAAAUUUUGACAUUCACUCUAUCCUUCGUCUUUGUAAGGACAUAUCAAGACUUAGAAGGCUUUGAUUACACAUACGGAUGGCAUGAGUCGUGAUAUAAAAUAGUAUUGUUUUCACGUGUACUUCGAAGUCAUCUCAUUUGAAAUUAACUGUCAUAAUUGACUAUUUGGAAUAUUCAACCUAAAUACUACCCGCUGCUGUGGUGACGGGGGGUGGAGGAAGCGUGGUGGAACCCCAACACCUAGUGAGGGGUGGCUGAUUAAUACCACGGCUCACAACAUAACAGAGCGGCUCAUUCCAUGAACAACCCCGGGGGGAUUUCGAAUUCUAUCAUCUGGGCAAAAGAUGUGAUGAGUGUAACUUCCUGUUUUCUCCAAACUAAAACACUACGCAGAUUCCUGUACCGCUCUGGGACAGAAAUCCUCAGCCAGAGCAGAGGCCGUCCCCAGAGUCCACACUGUUUCCUGCAUAAAGUGGGUUAUCUCAGAAGAAACAUCCCACUGGUCUGUGUGAUCCUUCUAUUGAAAUGUGGUCUUUUAUCUACAUCUAAGUAUCUCUAGAAGUAAUGCGUUUGUAUGUACUUGUCACUCAGAUAUGUAAUCCCUUAAUUUGUGCGGGGUUUUGGGGUGUGAAAAAUUCUUGGUUUAUAUCCUACACUUUUAAAUAACCUCGUCAAAACUUACAUGUAUUUAACACCUUUUUUUGUGAGCACAUGGUAAGGUUGGAAGUAAAAAUGGAAGGUUUAUCCCUGUGGCCCAUGUUUUCCAGUGUACCUAUGUGGGGUUUUAAAAAAAUGUCCCAAUUUCUUCCUUUUACUGGAGACUGCGUUUUUUAGACAACAGCUUAUCUUCCUAUUCCCUAACCAGUCUUCUCCAAUCUUACCAUUCAAUAUAGCCUCCUUUUCUGUGACUUCCUCCAGCUGAAUAGAAGGGCUGAGUGGGUCAACCUUCCCUGUAUUGUUUGUUUCCUCCACCCUCUCUUUUUCCUUAAUAGCAGUAUUUGGUCCACCCACACCACCCUCUCUCUUCUCACUGCCUCCAUUCCUGGUUCUUAACUCCUUUCUAUUCUUUACUCUCCACCUGCCUACACGAUCAUUCUUAGCAGCAAAUUUAUUCCAUCGACUUUUACGUCCACUUAACAUCCAGAUUGCAUUUACUUUGCGCAGAUAACCUUGCCGCCUACCUCACAAGUCAAGGCCACCUGCUGCUCUCUUUCUACUUUAAAACAUCCUUCCUCCAUCUUUACCCCCCAACUCAGCAAAAUUGAUGUCUCUCUCGGAUGACCCAAAGUUUGGAGGGAUAAUUAAUUUGAUAGAUGUCAGAAUCAAAGUUCAAAACAGUCUCAACAGGCUACAACAUUAGGCCAAAAGCAAUGAAAUAAAAUAUAACUUUCAAAUCUAAAUAUGAUGUACUAGCUGGAAAAGCCCAAGUUUUAGAUUUUAGACCUUGGUUUGUAUCUAGUUACCCAAAUUUGAGUCAUAUCCAGUAACUCAAAUUACUAUCUUUUGCUCUAGUAAGGUCAACUGUUAAUUUGAGAUAAAAAUACCUACUUCAUAAGAGUGUGAAGAGUAAUUUAUUUAUAAUUCCCACGUAAUUCGUGGAACAUUCACCAACCAUUAGUUCCCCUCCCUUCCUCAUCGUCCACAAAGUGGUUGUCUCUGUUGCCAUUCAUAACACAUUCUUUAAUUCAUACAGACCUGGAAACAGACUCAAAAUCCUGGCCCGUUCACCUUGUAUCCCAGAGCUGUCACCAUCGUAGAGAAAUCGUUUGCCUCUUUUGGGUCAGUCAUUAUCAUCAUCAUACCCAUUUUUUCAAUGAAAAAACCUAAGGCUCAGAGAUGUUAGGCAAUUUGCUCCAAAUCACUCAGCCUGAUCAGUGGCAUAACCUGACCCAGUGACUCAUGAUUCUGUGUAUAUCCACUCCUUUACUAAGAUAUUCUCCCACACUUAUGUUGGUCCUUUAGCCUUCUAAAUGCUUUUCCUGGUUCUUAUCUCUUUAUCCUUCCACUUGUGUCCUGACUGAUGGCAGAUUAUUCCUUCUAAACUGAUACCUUCAUCAUUAUAAUUUUGUCCUUUCAAGCUUCAGUGGUUCCAUAUUGUUUAUAGUGUUCAAUCCAAAUUUGGACCUGGCACUUAAGGUUUACCAGAUCUUGUCCAAACUUGCAUUUCCAAAUUUAUUUCCUGCCACUUCCCAGAAGGAACUCUCAAUGCCAUCCGGUCCUGUUGGUUGUACUCACUGGCCCACAGAUGAGCUGUGAGUCGCCAUUUAUGAGGGCCUCCUUCAGUUGUUCCCUUAACAGAUACCAUUUCCCACUUCUUUCCUCCAUCUCCAAAUCAUGCUCACUUUUCAAGAUCCAGCUCACACCCCCUCCCAGGAAGCCCACCUUACACCUUCUACCCAAGCUUUGUGAUCUCUCCCUGAUUGCCUGUUCACAUGUGCCUUUAAACUAGGUGGUCUGUGCUGUGGGGUGAGAGACAAUUUCCUAAGGUUCACCUGCCCCCUCAGCACUGUGCCCAAAGAACACUGAAGCAGAUUCCAAGCAAAUUUGCUUACUACUGAAAUGAAAGGGUACAGGUGUUACUUGAUUAACCAUAUGAACUGUUAUUUCUAAGACACAGGUAAGUAACUAGCCAUCCAGCGCAAAGUGAAUUAGCAGGAUGGUUCUCAAACCUGGCUUUGCUUCAGAAUCAGCUGGGGACUUUACUAAUUCCGAGGGCCCUGUUCCAGAUCUACUGAAUCAAAAGUAGGUGGGAAGCAGCCGGGAGGGAACAUGAAACUGCCAGAGUUUAUAUCCUGGCAUCGUUGCUUAUUAUCUGGGGAACUUUGAGCAAGUUACUUAACCUCUCUGUGCCUCAGUUUCUUCGUCUAUGACAUAGGGAUGAUAAUAAUAGUAGCUUGGCCGGGCAUGGUGGCUCAUGCCUGUAAUCCCAGCACUUUGGGAGGCCAAGGCAGGUGGAUCACUUGAGGUGACCAGCCUGGCCAACAAGGUGAAACCCUGUCUCUACUAAGAAUACAAAAAUUAGCCGGGUGUGGUGGCAUGCACCUGUAAUCCCAGCUACUCAGGAGGCUGAGGCAAGAGAAUCGUUUGGACCCAGGAGACAGAGGUUGCAGUAAGUGGAGAUUGCGCCACUGCACUCCAGCCUAGGGUGACAGAGUGAGACUCUGCCUCAAAAAAUUAAUAAUAAUAGUAUCUCAUAUAAGGUUGUUGUAAGUUAAAUCCUUAAUAAAUAUUACCUAUGACAAUGAUAAUUUUUCAAUUAAACUUGUUUAUUUAAUCCAAA
rnacentral:lncRNA from 10 species